rnacentral:rRNA from 1 species
CGACCGGCGCACGGGUGAGUAACACGUAUCCAACCUGCCGUCUACUCUUGGCCAGCCUUCUGAAAGGAAGAUUAAUCCAGGAUGGGAUCAUGAGUUCACAUGUCCGCAUGAUUAAAGGUAUUUUCCGGUAGACGAUGGGGAUGCGUUCCAUUAGAUAGUAGGCGGGGUAACGGCCCACCUAGUCAACGAUGGAUAGGGGUUCUGAGAGGAAGGUCCCCCACAUUGGAACUGGGACACGGUCCAA